CCUACGGGUGGCAGCAGUGGGGAAUAUUGCACAAUGGGCGCAAGCCUGAUGCAGCCAUGCCGCGUGUGUGAAGAAGGCCUUGGGGUUGUAAAGCACUUUCAGCGGGGAGGAAGGCGGUGAGGUUAAUAACCUCAUCGAUUGACGUUACCCGCAGAAGAAGCACCGGCUAACUCCGUGCCAGCAGCCGCGGUAAUACGGAGGGUGCAAGCGUUAAUCGGAAUUACUGGCGUAAAGCGCACGCAGGCGGUCUGUCAAGUUGGAUGUGAAAUCCCCGGGCUCAACCUGGGAACUGCAUUCGAAACUGGCAGUCUAGAGUCUUGUAGAGGGGGGUAGAAUUCCAGGUGUAGCGGUGAAAUGCGUAGAGAUCUGGAGGAAUACCGGUGGCGAAGGCGGCCCCCUGGACAAAGACUGACGCUCAGGUGCGAAAGCGUGGGGAGCAAACAGGAUUAGAUACCCCAGUAGUC
rnacentral:rRNA from 1 species